CAGCAGCCGCGGUAAGACGAACCGUGCAAACGUUAUUCGGAAUCACUGGGCUAAAAGCGCACGUAGGCGGCGACAUAAGUUAGAGGUGAAAUCCCAUCGGCUCAACCGUGGAACUGCCUCUAAUACUGUGUUGCUCGAGGGAGAACGGGGCAUUCGGAACUUCCGGUGGAGCGGUGAAAUGUGUUGAUAUCGGAAGGAACGCCGGUGGCGAAAGCGGAAUGCUGGGUCUCUUCUGACGCUGAGGUGCGAAAGCUAGGGUAGCGAACGGGAUUAGAUACCCCUGUAGUCCCUGUCUCUUAUA
rnacentral:rRNA from 1 species